rnacentral:rRNA from 1 species
AUGGGGCGCACCAGCUGUUCUGGCGAUGGCAGCGCCGGACCCGCACCCACCUGUGCGAUGGAGGUCGGCCGCAUCGGGAUCCACCUACGCGAUGGAGGCCGGCCGGAUCGGUAUGGCGCGGCACACCACACCAUACCGGAGCUUGCUGCUGUGCUGGUCGUCGACAACGACGCAACUCCGGCGGGACAUAGACGCCCAAGAUCCGACCCCCCAUCCUUCCUUCCUUGUGUUCGCGGAACGACAAUGGCAAGGGGACGACCGAUGUGCGUGGUGGACCAGGAGCUGGAGAACCAUCUCGCCCUCCAUGUUCACAUCACCUUCCUUUGCUUUCCCUUGGACACUUGGAGAGAGAGAAGGAAGAUGGCGGAUGAGGGGAUGGCCAACUGCAUCGACAUCAUCCUCGCCAUCAUCCUGUCGCCGCUCGACGUCUUCCUCAAGUUCGCCUGCGGGAUCGAGUUCUGA